rnacentral:rRNA from 1 species
CGGGUAAUGGCCCACCAAGGCGACGAUCCGUAGCUGGUCUGAGAGGAUGAUCAGCCACACUGGAACUGAGACACGGUCCAGACUCCUACGGGAGGCAGCAGUAGGGAAUAUUGGACAAUGGGCGCAAGCCUGAUCCAGCCAUGCCGCGUGAGUGAAGAAGGCCCUCGGGUUGUAAAGCUCUUUUGUCCAGAAAGAAAAGCGCCGGGUUAAUACCCUGGUGUCCUGACGGUACCGGAAGAAUAAGCACCGGCUAACUUCGUG